GCGACGCGUUUCGAACCUUCCCACAGUGUUCUCAUCAGGCGAAUUCAAUGACAAAAUGACUCUGACCCAGCUCGCUCCAGCAUUUAUGUGCCAGGAGGGCGGGGCUUCUCACCUCGCAACCAAUAGCAACCGAUAACCACCUUCAGCAUUGUAUGAUGCUUCAUGAAUUGUUUCUUUCACACACUAAUAAACUGUAUUGUUGUUUUUUAAUUUUUUACAGGUACUAGUCGAAUAAUGUCGAUCAGCAGGCACUUGCAGCAGGUAAGUAGGCACCUUUGUGCAUAAUUCAGGUGAGUACAGGGAACUCGAGGUCCAUAGGAACCCGGCACUGGCUUGGUUAGGUGAAGGAAAAUCCAGAAUCCGAAUCCCGAAGGAUUCGAAAACGGUUGUGCACGGUCCUGAGUCCCACCGGCCGCCAAGAGUCACAAGCACACCCCCAAAUCACACACACAACAGCCAACACUUCCCCACAGAAAGCCAACGCCAGUCUAAAAUAUUUUUUUAGGCUCUGUAAAAAAUCCCAAACCCGGGCUACAGCCACACGGGCUGUUUUUCUCAGGGGUGUGUGAAGAAAAACCGAUGGUAGGUUAAGGUUUAGAUGUGGUUAAGGGGUAUAUUACUCUAAAAGUACACAUCUCAACGUCUGUAUGGACGGAGAAGAAAAAUUGAAUAAACAUAUAUUGUGCUCAGACGCAUCACCACCCUAAUGAUGCCGGCUGUUUAUUUUUAAAUGUCUUCAAAUUUUGUCAUUCAGGUCUGUCGC